rnacentral:rRNA from 1 species
AGUGAACGCUGGCGGUAGGCCUAACACAUGCAAGUCGAACGGCAGCACAGUAAGAGCUUGCUCUUACGGGUGGCGAGUGGCGGACGGGCGAGGAAUACAUCGGAAUCUACUUUUUCGUGGGGGAUAACGUAGGGAAACUUACGCUAAUACCGCAUACGACCUACGGGUGAAAGCAGGGGAUCUUCGGACCUUGCGCGAUUGAAUGAGCCGAUGUCGGAUUAGCUAGUUGGCGGGGUAAAGGCCCACCAAGGCGACGAUCCGUAGCUGGUCUGAGAGGAUGAUCAGCCACACUGGAACUGAGACACGGUCCAGACUCCUACGGGAGGCAGCAGUGGGGAAUAUUGGACAAUGGGCGCAAGCCUGAUCCAGCCAUACCGCGUGGGUGAAGAAGGCCUUCGGGUUGUAAAGCCCUUUUGUUGGGAAAGAAAAGCAGCAGGUUAAUACCCCGCUGUUCUGACGGUACCCAAGGAAUAAGCACCGGCUAACUUCGUG